AGGGAAUAUUGGUCAAUGGGUGAAAGCCUGAACCAGCCAUGCCGCGUGCAGGAAGACGGCCUUCUGGGUUGUAAACUGCUUUUAUCUGGGGAUAAAAAGGCCUUGCGAGGCAAACUGAAGGUACCAGAUGAAUAAGCCACGGCUAACUACGUGCCAGCAGCCGCGGUAAUACGUAGGUGGCAAGCGUUGUCCGGAUUCAUUGGGUUUAAAGGGUGCGUAGGCGGCCAUUUAAGUCAGUGCUGAAAUACCCCGGCUUAACCGGGGGGGUGGCAUUGAUACUGGGUGGCUUGAGUGCUAGCGAGGCAGGCGGAAUUGACGGUGUAGCGGUGAAAUGCUUAGAUAUCGUCAAGAACACCGAUAGUGUAGACAGCUUGCCAGGGAGCAACUGACGCUGAGGCACGAAAGUGUGGGGAUCAAAC
rnacentral:rRNA from 1 species